rnacentral:rRNA from 1 species
UACGAAGGGGGCUAGCGUUGCUCGGAAUGACUGGGCGUAAAGGGCGCGUAGGCGGAUGGCACAGUCAGAUGUGAAAUUCCCGGGCUUAACCUGGGGGCUGCAUUUGAUACGUGUUGUCUUGAGUCCGGAAGAGGAGAGUGGAAUUCCUGGUGUAGCGGUGAAAUGCGCAGAUAUCAGGAAGAACACCAAUGGCGAAGGCAGCUCUCUGGGACGGUACUGACGCUGAGACGCGAAAGCGUGGGGAGCGAACAGG